rnacentral:tRNA from 1 species
GCCAGUGUGGCUCAGUGGAUAGAGCAUCAGCCCGGGAACUGAAGGGUCCCGGGUUCGAUUCCGGCCAAGGGUA